UACGUAGGGUGCGAGCGUUGUCCGGAAUUAUUGGGCGUAAAGGGCGCGUAGGCGGUUCGGCAAGUCUCUAGUGAAAUCUCUGGGCUCAACUCAGAGUCUGCUGGGGAAACUGCCGGGCUUGAGUGUGGGAGAGGCGAGUGGAAUUCCGUGGUGUAGCGAUGAAAUGCGCAGAUAUCAGGAGGAACACCAAUUGCGAAGGCAGCUCGCUGGGACGUUACUGACGCUGAGACGCGAAAGCGUGGGGAGCAAACAGG
rnacentral:rRNA from 1 species